rnacentral:rRNA from 1 species
CCCUUAGAUGUCCUGGGCCGCACGCGCGUUACACUGAUGCAUUCAACGAGCGUAUAACCUUGGCCGAGAGGCCUGGGCAAUCUUGUUAACGUGCAUCGUGAUAGGGAUAGAUUAUUGAAAUUAUUAAUCUUGAACGAGGAAUUCCUAGUAAACGCAGAUCAUCAAUCUGCAUUGAUUACGUCCCUGCCCUUUGUACACACCGCCCGUCGCACCUACCGAUUGGAUGGUCCGGUGAAGCCUCGGGAUUGUGGUUCUUGCCGCUUUAUUGUGGCGUGACCGCGAGAACUUGUCUAAACCUUAUCAUCUAGAGGAAGGUGAAGUCGUAACA